rnacentral:misc_RNA from 1 species
CCGAGUUUACAACUCCCAAACCCCUGUGAACAUACCACUUGUUGCCUCGGCGGAUCAGCCCGCUCCCGGUAAAACGGGACGGCCCGCUAGAGGACCCCUAAACUCUGUUUCUAUAUGUAACUUCUGAGUAAAACCAUAAAUAAAUCA